CAGCAGCCGCGGUAAUACGAAGGGGGCUAGCGUUGUUCGGAUUUACUGGGCGUAAAGCGCACGUAGGCGGAUCCUUAAGUCAGAGGUGAAAUCCCAAGGCUCAACCUUGGAACUGCCUUUGAUACUGGGGAUCUCGAGUUCGGGAGAGGUGAGUGGAACUGCGAGUGUAGAGGUGAAAUUCGUAGAUAUUCGCAAGAACACCAGUGGCGAAGGCGGCUCACUGGCCCGAUACUGACGCUGAGGUGCGAAAGCGUGGGGAGCAAACAGGAUUAGAUACCCCCGUAGUCCCUGUCUCUUAUAC
rnacentral:rRNA from 1 species